rnacentral:rRNA from 1 species
GUGCCAGCCGCCGCGGUAAGACAGAGGUGCCAAGCGUUAGGCGGAAUCACUGGGCUUAAAGCGUGUGUAGGCGGAUGUCUAAGUACUUUGUGAAAUCCCACGGCUCAACCGUGGAACUGCUUGGUAUACUGGACGUCUUGAGCCAGCUAGGGGCUACCGGAACAAAUGGUGGAGCGGUGAAAUGCGUAGAUAUCAUUUGGAACGCCAAUGGUGAAAACAGGUAGCUGGGGCUGUGCUGACGCUGAGACACGAAAGUCAGGGGAGCGAACGGGAUUAGAUACCCCAGUAGUCC